UACGAAGGGGGCUAGCGUUGCUCGGAAUCACUGGGCGUAAAGCGCACGUAGGCGGAUUGUUAAGUCAGGGGUGAAAUCCUGGAGCUCAACUCCAGAACUGCCUUUGAUACUGGCGAUCUCGAGUCCGGAAGAGGUGAGUGGAACUCCUAGUGUAGAGGUGGAAUUCGUAGAUAUUAGGAAGAACACCAGUGGCGAAGGCGGCUCACUGGUCCGGUACUGACGCUGAGGUGCGAAAGCGUGGGGAGCAAACAGGG
rnacentral:rRNA from 1 species